rnacentral:rRNA from 1 species
AACGAACGCUGGCGGCAUGCCUAACACAUGCAAGUCGAACGAGACCUUCGGGUCUAGUGGCGCACGGGUGCGUAACGCGUGGGAACCUGCCCUUAGGUUCGGAAUAACUCCCCGAAAGGGGUGCUAAUACCGGAUAAUGUCUGCGGACCAAAGAUUUAUCGCCUUUGGAUGGGCCCGCGUUGGUUUAGCUAGUUGGUAGGGUAAAAGCCUACCAAGGCGACGAUCCAUAGCUGGGCUGAGAGGAUGAUCAGCCACACUGGGACUGAGACACGGCCCAGACUCCUACGGGAGGCAGCAGUGGGGAAUAUUGGACAAUGGGCGAAAGCAUGAUCCAGCAAUGCCGCGUGAGUGAUGAAGGCCUUAGGGUUGUACAGCUCUUUUACCCGGGAUGAUACUGACAGUACCGGGAGAAUAAGCACCGGCUAACUCCGUG